ensembl:lncRNA
CCCAGCCUCGGGGCUCUGAGCUGACGCCCCAGAGUCCUGCCCUCCCCCUCCCCCUGAGCUCUGCCUGACCCAGAAUGGAAGGGGGACCCCUGGAUGCCCAGCUCCUCUGCUCAGCAAGGUCACACCCCCGGGUCACAUUCACACAUUCCGAAACUAUCCACUGAGCCCCCUCUAUUGUUGAGCAGUGUUCCGGGUGCCAGGUUCCCCAGCAAAGGUUGACAGGGACCACCCCCCUGCCCUCUCAGGGCUGCAGCCCCACAGCUGAUGCUCACCACCUGCAAGGCCGUUGGCACCCAAGCGAGGGAGAUGGAGAGAAGGUGUGUUCUGGGGCUGAGCCGAGAGAGAGCAGGCAGCCCGGGCUCCGGGGGCUCUAGCCCCGCCUCCUACGACUUGAAAGCCAGACAGCCGGAGAAGACAACGGAGCCAGCGGGAGAGGCACGUUGCCCCGGAAGAUCAUGCCUGAGGAAAGUUAGAGCAACCAGGCACGAAUGUGCUCUGAGCAUCCCAGCAGCCAGAGCAAAAAGGGCAAGGCGAGGGAUCCACAGCUCUCCCCAUGUGUGAGGGAGGGAAGAGGAGAAGCUGAGUCCCAGAGGGACUGCCCAGGCUUUCAUCGAGAGGACAGUGAGCGGGGUUGUUCUGAUGUCUGCCCAGCCCCCAGUCCAUGAGCCCCUUGAUGCAGGCAGUGUCUUCCCUGCCUGGAUGCUCAGCCCCAGAACUGGACCCCACAACCAGCAGGCACUCAGAAAACAGAUUCUGCUUUACACAAAAGGGCAGUUUCUGAGCAUGCUUCUCCCUAGGAGCAGCAUUUCUAAGUGAAAGAGAAAAAUGUUUGAUUUGGCAGAAAAAGCCAGCCCUGGGGCCAAAUCCCACUGCUCACACCACCUGGCUGUGAUGAACGUGGCAGUCAUUCCCCAUCAUCCCUCCCAUCCUCCUGGGCCACCAUAGUGUUCCUGGCCUUAUUCUUACAAGUCAGUCAAGGUAAUCCCACCCUCAGCCACAGGGAACACAGGCCCAAGCCAGGCAAUGCAUGUUACUCACUGGAUCUAACUUUGAGCCCCUGGAUCAAACCUUACCUGAAGUUCAGUUGCUCAGUUUAGUUUUGGACCUUCCAGUUACAUGAACUGUUUUUGAAACUUUUGUGGUUUAAGCCUAUUGAAGCCGGGCCUUCUGAGGUAGCAACACGGCGUUUUAAUAACACACUGACACAUGCCCGUGGGGGAGUCCCUUCACCUCUCUAGACCUCAGUGUCCCCGUCUGUCCACUGACCUCAGGAGCUGCAGUGAGGACGAAGUGAUGCAGCAUGUGUGAAAGGGCUCUUGAACCCUAGAGCGUGGCGCCCCCAUCAGGAGAGUGGCUGUUCAUCAGUCCGUGUGUCCCCCUUCUCGCGCACUCUGCUCUGGCCUCACAGGCCCUGCUUCUGGUCCCUUGACCCUUAAAGCUCUUAUCCUGCCAGCCUUUGGCCGCGCUGCCCCUCUGCCUGGAGCACCCCUCCCAAUGUUCGCAUGACUGGCUCCCCCCUCAUCCUCCCCAUCUUCCUUUAAACACCACCUCCUCCCAGAGGCCUUCCCUGACUACCCCAUUUGAAAUAGGGUCAGUCCCCAUUCAUCUCCUUCAUAGGAUUUACUGCUGUGUUUCGUUCUUUUUUUUUUUAAAUCACGUUUGUUUCUUUAUUGAGUUACUCAUUUGGGGUCUUUGUCCCCCAGGGCAAAGCUUCUCAAACCAGGGGUGGUAAAGGACCAGUAUGUUUAUUCCCAGUCUGUCACAGACCAAUACUUUCAUAGACUACAUUAAAAAUACACUUCUAGAAAAAUUUCUACUCAAAAAAACAUACUAAAUAUACACCCUAAAUUCUUAUUAUUACAUUUUACGGUCAUAAAUUACUCUGCCAACUUGCUAUAAAGGUUCCUGAACGGUUCCUCUCCGUUUCCGCUGUUUUCGGGAGGAGUGCGUGCUCCACCCCGGGGGGCAAGCUGAACUGACAAAGACUCAAUGCCCCGGGAGGCAGGGGCUACAGUCUUGGCUCCCUUGUCCCUGGGGUGGGGCAGCCCACCAGCCGCUGUCCCCCUGGGCCGUGGCGCCUCCAGCUGCGCCUGGGGUCACUUGCUGUGGCUCACACUCUGCUGGGCUUCCUGCCUUCUCUGUCUCUCUGCCUCCCUCCCCGACUCAAGUGUCGCCUCCCAGACAAACCGCCUGCACUCAAUUCCACGUUUAGGGGCUGCUUCCAGGGGAAUCCAAACAAUUAAUAUACAAUACAGGAUAUGCAAUCCCGAGUGUCACGGGUGCAGCUGCCCGAUGCGACUCAAAUGCAUGUGUGUUACCCUGUAACUGCUGUGCGUCCCUGUGGAAGCCACGAGACAAGUCGGCAGGCAGCAAGGAGCCUGGAGCAGCAGCCAGGGGUCCUACGGGCCCCCCAGAGCAGGAGGGGGAAGCUGGAGACCCCUCUUCCAGGGCCCGGGUCCUCCUCCUCCUCCAGGGGUGGGCAUUUCCUGUCACUGGUGCUCCAGCAAACCAAGCAAGGCUCAGAGAAACCGUGUCUGCCCACAGCCAGGAAGCUAUAAAUAACUCCUGGAUUAGAAGAAGGGGAAAAUAAGCUCUGAUUCCAUCUGCACUUGCUGAGAACACGCCCUCCCAGCCCACGCGCCCCCCCACACCUAGACCCCAAACCCCCAACCAGAGGAAGCCUGGGGGCCCCGCGGUCAGAGGAGGAAGCCACCAGGUCCACAUGCAGUGGCUCUGCCCUGCGGUCAGCCGGCGGUGGCAGACAGGCCUCUGCCAGGGCUUGUCACCUGCAGCAGGAGAGGCACCCAGGAUGGAGGCCGGAUCCCAGUUCUGGGAUCAGCCAAUUCUCUGAGCCCCACAAGGGGGAAGCAGGAGGCACCCUCUUCUCCCGAGAGCCAGCAGGGGGCGGGCAGCCGGGGCGGCAGUUGUGGGGACCGUGACAAGUGGCAUUCCCACCUUGGCGUCCCUUUCUCGGUCACAUCCUCUGCUCCCAUUUCCUCUGUACUCUCGGCUCCUCGUGUGCCUUUCUCUGCUCUGCCACCUGUUGUCCUUCCUUCUACCUCUCCAUCUAUCUCCUGUCUCCUCACAUCCACCUCUCCAUCCAUCUACCCCCUCUCCCCGCAUCCGGAUGCCCCUCUGUCUUCGAAAAGGGCAAAACCGCUGAAGUGGAGUCAGACACACAGGGAACCAGAUGCCAAGUGCUUCUUGGAGGAGCCGAGACCUCUGCGUCCUGAUCCGUGGGAUGGGGACGCUAAUCGGCACCGCGGGGCUGCGGCUAAGAUCCCAGAGGGAAGGCCCUGUGGGUGGAGGGCACGGCCCCUACCCCCACUCCCACCCCCAACCCAGGUCCUCUUCUCCAAAAGCCGCUCCAGCGCGGCCGGCCUGCUCCCGUGGCCAUUUCGGUUUCACUCCUGCAUGCCCUGUCUGCUGGAGACCCAGUCGGGUGUCCCGCAGCACCGCUGACCAGGUCCCCGCCUCCUGUCCGGGCGCAGGGGUCCAGCGGGCACCGGAUGCCUGUCCACGUGCGUGCAGCAAAGAGCCUGGGGGGCGGCAGAAGAAGAGGCAACUUUAUUGACUUUCUCGGGGCCGCCGGGGGCUGGCCCAGCCGGGGGGCGCCGCCGCGGGGGUGCCGGCCUCGGGCCCAGGCGGGAGCAGCACGAGGCCAGGGGGCUGGCCGGCGCCCGCGUGCGCGUAGCUGCGCGCCAGCCUCUCCAGGCGCCGCUUGCGCUCGGCCGCCUGCGCCGUGCUGUGCAGGGGCCGCAGCAGCGCGGGGGGCGGCGCGCCCGGGCCCCGCAGCAGGAAGUCGAAGCCCGCGCGGUCGUGGGGGUCGUAGAAGAGCGGCCCGCGGGCCGGGUCGGGCCCCGGCGGCCAGGCGAACGGGAAGGGCAGCGUGAAGUCCUCGGUGAGCAGGCGGAUGGCGAAGUCGUCCUCCUUGCCCAGCGCGCGGUAGGCGCGCCCGAUGCCGCGGAAGUGCGCCUCCCAGAGCUGCGCGUCCCCGCCGUAGAUGUCUGGGAAGGGGGGCUCCGGGGGCGCGGCGGGACCUGCGGUGGCUACAGAAGGAGGGGGCAGACCUGCUGAACUGGGGUCCCCGGAACAGGGGGAUGCCAUGGCUGCAGGCGCUGGCAGGGCCAGGCUUGUUUACCUGGCU